rnacentral:rRNA from 1 species
GACGAACGCUGGCGGCGUGCUUAACACAUGCAAGUCGAACGGAAAGGCCCUGCUUUUGUGGGGUGCUCGAGUGGCGAACGGGUGAGUAACACGUGAGUAACCUGCCCUUGACUUUGGGAUAACUUCAGGAAACUGGGGCUAAUACCUGAUAGGAGCUCCUGCUGCAUGGUGGGGGUUGGAAAGUUUCGGCGGUUGGGGAUGGACUCGCGGCUUAUCAGCUUGUUGGUGGGGUAGUGGCUUACCAAGGCUUUGACGGGUAGCCGGCCUGAGAGGGUGACCGGCCACAUUGGGACUGAGAUACGGCCCAGACUCCUACGGGAGGCAGCAGUGGGGAAUAUUGCACAAUGGGCGGAAGCCUGAUGCAGAAACGCCGCGUGCGGGAUGACGGCCUUCGGGUUGUAAACCGCUUUCGCCUGUGACGAAGCGUGAGUGACGGUAAUGGGUAAAGAAGCACCGGCUAACUACGUG